rnacentral:misc_RNA from 1 species
UUUCCGUAGGUGAACCUGCGGAAGGAUCAUUACAACAAGGUUCCCUGGCCCUCGAAGCUUCGGCGGAGGGGCGCUACAGCCUGACUUUAUACCCACCCUUUGCCUAUGUGUACCCCUAUUGCUUCCCUCGGCGGGUUCGCCCGCCGACAGGAACCAACUAAACCCUUUGCAUUAUACAUUUAACACUUCCGAUACAAAACUAAAUUAUUACAACUUUUAACAAUGGAUCUCUUGGUUCUG